AAUUUCAUCUGUCUUUGUAUUCGUUCCACCACGUCAACGUGACACACGGCGAGUCCCGAAUGUUCGCUAAUUUUUACAAAAAAAGUUUCCUAGUAGAUUCUUCGCGCGUCAGCAAUGGGGAAAGACGAUGUGACAGAUGUGUAUCUGUCGUGUGUACGAUAUACACGUAUUUACCACGCAUACGACCAGAGAAAUAUUACAAACUUAGGAUCGCAAAUAUUAUUCGGAUCCUCAUCGUUCGUAUGUAUUUUCCGAGAGAGAAGAAAAAAAAAAAAAAAGAAAAUCACCGCACAUCUGAUUUUUCUGCACGAGUGUAUAUGAAAUAACCGUAAAUAAAUCAUGAGUUCAGCGAUAUACGACGUGUUUCAAGAAAAAUGCAGGAAGACAGGAAUCCGAAUGAUAUUGCUGACAUAACACGAAGCACUGUGUCAUAGUUGGAGAUAGCGAACAAACGAAAAACGUUCACGGCGAUUGUGAUAGACGAAUAUAAUAUCGAAUUGUCGAAGCGAUCAGAGAAUCUCUUACGAUGAUCGUAUUGAAAUACCAACCUCUCGGUUUCCUAUAGGUAUAUUUAAUAUCUUAUCUGAACGAUAAAACGCAUAAUACCGAUCAUAAAACGCAUUAUAUGAAACUUGUUCUUUUUUUCUUUUUAACCUCUUGUUUCUUUUCUUUCACACUCAUAAAACACACACAUAUACAUGUAUAUAAUUUAUAUAUGUAAUAUAUUACACGCAUACAUAAAACACAUGCAUACCGAAUCAUUAUCAGUGUCUGUUGAUUGUAUUCGUGUUCCGCAGACACAACGAGAGUAUCCGGGUACUUGAGAAACACUUGAUGAACAUUAGGCGAGGACUCGGAUACCCCGAGAACGCUAUUUUUACUGGACCUGUAAAAUUGUGAGUAUUAACAAAAAAAAAAAAAAAAAAAAAAAAGAAAAAGAAAAAGAAAGAAAAGAAAAAAAUUUGAACGAUACGCGAAACUUAUGUAAUGUAUUUGGAAUAAUUAAAUAAAGAAUUGAGAAAUUUGAAUGGCUUUUUUAGAAAUUUCUGCGUGUACUCGAGCACUCGGUUAAUCUUCAUUCGAUUCAGCGUGCAUACUCCGGACCAGUGAUAUCAUAUAUAGAUGUAGAAAUUGGCGGAUAGAUUUAUAACAACAAUAACAACAA